AAAAAAUAAAAAAAAUUAAAAAAGUGAUAUUAAUGUUAGGUUAUAUACAUAGUUUCCUGAACCCUACCAUAAUAUAUAAAGUUUUUUGUGUACAACAAUCUUAGAUUACCUAAAACAAAAUGAAAUUCUUUUUUCUUUUUCUUUUUUGAGAUGGAGUUUUGUUCUUGUUGCCCAGGCUCGAGCGCAAUGGCACGAUCUCGGCUCACUGCAACUUACGCCUCCCGGGUUCAAGCGAUUCUCCUGACUCACCCUCCUGAGUAGCUGGGAUUACAGGUGCUGCCACCAUGUCCAGCUAAUUUUUUGUAUUUUUAGUAGAGACGGGAUUUCAUUAUGAUGGCCAGGCUGGUCUCAAACUCCUGACCUGAGACAAUGCACCUGCUGCAGCCUCCCAAAGUGCUGAGAUUACAGGCGUAAGCCUACAUGCGCGGCUAAUGAAAUUUCUUUCUUAUGUUAUGCUUAACAUAGAAAAGUCCAAAAUAUAUCCAGACAGACAGGAAUUAUGACUGCCACUUUAAAAAACACAUGUUUUGGUGUGAUGCAAUGUUUUCUGUACAUGCAGAUGGAAAACCAAACUUUAAAGUUUUCAAAUCAUAAACAGGAGCAUUAUUUGUGACUCUAAGCUUUAAAUAUAUAAAACAAAUACAUUGUUUAUUCUUCUUAAUUUAAAAUAUAGUGGUUUUUGAACAAUUCAAGUAACGUUAGCCUAUCAAAAACUUCUUAAGCCAUAUAUAUGACAACCGCAUUUUCAAAAUUAUGAGAACUUAGAAAAAGUAAAUGAAACCCCUACAGUUUAGUUAAAAACAUAAUAGACCACUAUUUGUAUUUGCCCUUGUGAUGAGAAUCACCUUUAUUUAUUUAGGAACAAACAGAAAAUGCUGUGGUGGCAACUUGCUGGGUGGUGACUGUGAUGAGAUUUACUGCCUUGGAGAUGGUGGGAUCCAAUGGACCAGAAUCGUCAUCACCUUACCAUGUUCACGGCUGUAUUUUAUCUUCUAUCAUUUAUUUCCCAGACUCCUUCAUCAUUUCCAUUUCUAUCCUUGGUGAUGUUCAUGCAGCUUCACCCUCAGCUGCUCCAACAGUCUGUCCAUUUGGCUCAAGCUCUCCAGCAGUUUCUCUGGUUUCUUCUGAUCCUGGUGUCUGAGAUUUAUCAGCAGAGCCUUGUUUUCAAUGACCAUGGCUAUUGCUGCCUCCUGCCAGCAGGGAAGCUCCUGCAGCAGCCAAAGCACCCUCACCCUGGUACGCCUCCACUCUAACCCUUGGUCAUGGCCCAGCUUGGUGCGCAGAAACCCAUCAACCAGAGCAUUUCGUGCAGCUGGGCAAGCUUUCCUCGGCAUGUGGGGCAGUUUCCCCAUCAUCUUUGUGCUGCCACCUCACCUUUCAUCAGAGAGACAGAUAGGAUGAUGCAGGGGCUUGGAGAUACCAUGGAAGAGUCCAGGGGAAUGAGGAGCAGCUGGGCUGGGCAGCCUCAGGCCCAGUGCGUGGCAGUGCCAGGUCUGACCCACAGACCCUGACACAGUGAUGGAUGAAAGACGUACACUGACACAGAUAUUUUGCCUGUCACUGCAGCUAAGAGGCUGUGCUAACAGAAUGAGCAGCACCCACCUCCAUAAGCCGGUGAAGUUUACAUGUAUUUAUUACAGAUUAAAUGACAAAAGUCUCGAGUAAACACUAUUAGUGGGUAAUUAACAUUGUCAAUCCCCCAGUAGAGAGCAGUUCUGCCCACAAAUGAUCAAAGGUCGGUCUUAGGACAACAUGAGCAAACAAGGUCUUUAGAUAAGCUCCCCUACAUUCCUUUGUAUCUACAUCUGUCUAAUUACCGCUGGGAAAGAACAGCCACCUUUGGCUCAUUCCUUCCUGAAGAUUUGCAAAAACCUCCUGGCCUUCCAAGAAGGUUUGCAUCUUUCUCUAUAAGUUUUUCCACACCCUGACUGAACUCAUACAUGGAGGCACCCCUCAUGCCUGACCAGAGAUCAGCCACUGCCACCUGGGGGGGACAGAGGGGCCUAGGUUCCACCAGCCAGCCUCACUCUGCACAAGCAGAGCUUUUUCCUCUUAAAUUGUGCUCUACUGAAGUCAGAUUUCAUGUUCUUUCCUCAUGGGGCAAUUUUGAUGUAAUUAUAAUGGUCACAAAUGUGGAAACUAAAAAUUUUGCUAUAUUUUUACCUGCAAGUGCUAGGUUAACAUUAAACUUUCAAUAGUGCUUUCUGAAUUUUAUACUUUAUUAUUUUCUAUUUGAUUCUGUUAACUAUAGGAAAUAAAAAUAAUAAAAUCUUGAUUUGCAUAGUUUCACAUUUUACAAAGAAUAUGUAUGUAUUCAUUCUUUUAACUGAUAAAUGUGUGUUGACCACACACAAUAUGCUAUCCUUUUGGCAGCCUUAGAAAAUAAAAUAGAAAAGAAAGUAUUGGUCUCUACUCUCAUGAAACUUUCAGUGUAACUUCAUAAAAUCAUCACGCAUUCCUGAGAAGUGGAUACCUCUGAAUUUUCCUAUAAACCUCCUAACCUGGCUGGGCACAGUAGCUCAUGCCUGUAAUCCCAGCACUUUGGGAGGCUGAGGGAGGCAGAUAACCUAAGGUCAGGAGUUCAAGACCAGCCUGAUGAUCAUGGAGAUACCCCAUCUCUACUAAAAAUACAAAAUUAGCCAGGUGUGGUGGCAUAUGCCUGUAAUACCAGCUACUCGGGAGGCUGAGGCAGGAGAAUCACUUGAACCCAGGAGGCAUAGGUUACAGUGAGCUGAGAUUGUGCCAUUGCACUUGAGCCUGGGCAACAAGAGUGAAAUUCCAUCUCAAACAAACAAACAAACAAAAAACAACCUCCUAACCCAAAAGUGACCAGUAUCUGAAUUUCAUAUUGUCGUUUAUUUUAAGCAAUUUUUUUUUGACAGAGUCUUGCUCAGUUGCCAGGCUGGAGUGCAGUGGCAUGAUCUCAGCUCACUGCAACCUCCAUCUUCUGGGUUCAAGCAAUUCUCCUGCUUCAGCCUCCCGAGUAGCUGGGACUACAGGCAUGCAACACCAUGUCCAGCUAAUUUUUGUAAUUUUAGUAGAGACGGGGUUUCACCAUGCUGGCCAGACGGUCUCGAUCUCUUGACCUUGUGAUUCACCCACCUUGGCCUCCCAAAGUGCUGGGAUUACAGGCGUGAGCCAUGGUGCCUGGCCUACUUUAUGCAAUUUUAUCUAUAAACAAUAUACGUUUCAGUGUUGCUUGUUUUUUGACUUUAGAUCAAUUCUACAAGUUUUCAUCUGUGACUUGCUUUUUUAUUUACAAUUGUUUCUAUUUUUCCAUGUUGCUUUGCAUAGCUAUAGUUGUCCAUUUUUACUGCCGCAGUGUGAAUAUACAUCAAUUUAUAAACGAAUUCUACUGCCAGUGGUUAUUUGUGAAUUCCAAUUACUUUAUUUUUAUCAACUCUUGGAAUUACUAGACAUAUUUUUUGACAAAAUGGAGAAUCAGAAAAGUAUAUAAUUUAGAGUUUUAAUUAGCAUUUCCAUAGUCACUAAAUAAAUUGGUAUUUUUCAGAGGUUAAUUGGUCAUAUGUGUUUUAAGAUGUGCCAUCUGUCCAUUUUUAAUGUAUUUCAUUUCUUUGUAUAUUAAUACAUAUUCUGUAGUGCAUAUUUUCUAAAUACUAAUUUUUGUAAUAUGUGUUUUUUACAUAUUUUUUCUUGGUUAUGAUUUGCCUUUCCACCAUCUUUAUUCAAACAUGUUUUUCUAAGUUCUUGAUAAUCAAAAGUUUUUAAAAUUUCAUCUAAUUUAUAAAUAUGUUUAUGCAAGUUUUUAUAUUGUGCCAUGUUUAAGAAAUUGCUUUACACCCACAGUUAUCACAACAAUAUUAUCUUGUAUUUUCUCCUAAAAGUUUUAAAUUCUGAAUCUAUGUGAAAAAUUGUCGUGUCAGUUGCUGUGUGGGAAUCCAAUCUAUCCAGGUAGAACCAAUUGUUUAGGUACUAGAUUAUUGACUUGUUAUACUUUAAAGUAUAGUUGUAAAACUGAUCUCAUUUUAAUGCAUUGGCUGGGACCAUAAAUCCAAUGUUUAAUAAAAAUCUUGACAGUAGCAUCCUUAUAAUAUUUAUGAUCUCAAUAGUUUAUCAUGCACAUUUGCUGUAGUUUAUUUUAGAUACCUUCUAUAUUAAGGCACGUUGGCUCAUGCCUGCAAUCCCAGCACUUUGGGAGGAUGAGGCAGGUGGAUCACGAGGUCAAGAGAUUGAGAACAUCCUAGCCAACAUGGCAAAACCCCAUCUUUACUAAAAAUACAAAAAUUAGUUGGGCGUGGUGGCAUGCACCUGUAAUCCCAGCUACUUUGGAGGCUGAGGCAGGAGAAUUGCUUGAACCUGGGAGGCAGAGGUAGCAGUGAGCCGAGAUUGUGCCACUGCACUCCAGCCUGGGUUACAGAGCAAGACUCCAUCUCAAAAAAAAAAUAAUAAAAAUAUUUAA
rnacentral:lncRNA from 1 species